GAUCCGUCAGUAAUGUACAGAGAACCCAAAAGAUGCAGGAAUCACAUGAAAGGGCUGGUUCAGAGGUUUCUUCAGGAUAAACAGCUAACUGAUACUUCUGCAGGGGACGUCAUACUGCAGCAGUUUGACAGUCUCCUGUCCUUGGAGAGCAGGAGUGAGGACUUCCUCUCCUUUCCUCCCAUGCAGAAGAGGCUGGACGUCUUCCUGUGCAGUGCCAUGGAGCCUUAUCCAGAGCUGUGGGCCUUCUGCAAGAAGCUGCUCAUCCUCUCCCACGACCAAGCUACGGUUGAACGUGGAUUCUCCAUCAAUAAAGAGGUUGAGUCAGAUAACUUGAAGGAGGACACUGUGGUCACACGGAGACUGGUGUGUGACUACAUCAUACAACAUGGAGGUGUUACCCAGGUUCCACUCAGUAAACAGCUACUGGCAAGUGUAGCAAGAGCUAGGACAAGGUAUCGUAUCCAUCUUGAGACCAAUAGAAAGAACAAGGAGGCAAAAGACCAGGCUCUCAAGAGGAAGGAGGCAGAGGACUGUCUUCAGGAGUUGAAGGUGAAGCGAAGAUGCAUACAGGAGGUAUCUGAAGGUCUGGCUAGGGAUGCGGACAGGCUGGCUGAGGAGGCUGAAGCGAAGGCAGGGAGCAAAAU
rnacentral:lncRNA from 1 species